UACGUAGGGGGCUAGCAUUGUCCGGAUUUAUUGGGCGUAAAGAGCGUGUAGGCGGCCAGGUAGGUCUGCUGUGAAAACUCGAGGCUCAACCUCGAGACGUCGGCGGAAACCAUCUGGCUAGAGUCCGGAAGAGGAGAGUGGAAUUCCUGGUGUAGCGGUGAAAUGCGCAGAUAUCAGGAAGAACACCCGUGGCGAAGGCGGCUCUCUGGGACGGUACUGACGCUGAGACGCGAAAGCGUGGGGAGCGAACAGG
rnacentral:rRNA from 1 species